GGGGUAAAAAUAGUAAAAUUAUCAUUCUGGAAUGGGGCAUCCCUAUUUUCAUUGGAGAAAUGUUGGAGGGUAUGCAUUCCCCUACACAGAAAACCUAGGUUGUCAGGGAGGAAGCCUAGCUAUAACCCUUCCCUCAGACUCUGGAAAAAUAUUGUGCGUAUAGGUCUGCCCAGCUGGCUAUUGUGCUUUGCGAAGGAUCCCUGUUGAUGUCAGAAUGGAACUGUCCAAGUUUUAGGCCUUGUGUGGUUACUAAGUUGUGGGCCUGGUUAACACUAUCUGCUUGGUGACAAGCUGUGAAAGGAAAGAGUGUUGAUGGCUUUAAUAUUUAUAGAAGGGGGUAUGGAUCAAGUAACACCAUUUUGAUUGGGCUGGGAAGCAAGAGGCUCUGAUUGGCUGGAGAUGCUAGUCAGUGAAGAAACGGCAGUUAACUGUUGGGAAAGUCAGUUGAUGAGGGAGAUUUGAGCAAACACCAGAAGCAACUGAGGGGAGAGCAGGUAGCUGAGCUCUGGAGAUGAAGCUAUUCUUACCCAGCUCGGUGUGACCAGCACUGAUACCAACUGGAGAAAGAGUACUGCACUUUGCUGUAGGUAGCAGUGUGAGGGGAACCAGGAACCAAGAGCUCCCAGAUGACCCAGUAGCCCGGGCCAAAGAGGAAGUCAGAAGAACACAGGGCAAACCAGAAGCUAGGAUCAAGAAGCAAGCAAACAAAUAAAGAUUGAGAAGACCCUUACAUUGUGUAUCACUCUGAGACUGUGUUUGUGAGAAGGCACAAUAGUGACACAAGACAAAAACAACUAACAGACAGGCUAGGUCAUAUAA